AUUACCACGUGCUAUGGGAGGGACCCAGUGAAAGAAGAUUGAAUCAUGGGGUGGGGCUUUCCUGUGCUAUUCUCAUGAUAGUGAAUGGGAAGAUCUGAUAAUGUUAUAAACAGGAGUUUCUCUGCACAAGCUCUCUUUUUGCCUGCUGCCUUCCAUGUAAAAUGGGACUUGCUCCUCCUUGUCUUCCACCAUGAUUGUGCAGCCUCCCCAGCCAUGUGAAACUGUACAAAUACAGUCAGUUCAGAGUUGACACUCACUUUCAAGGAUGUUUUGUCCUGGCUGAUUCCGAUGGCGUGUGAAUUGCUGGUCUGGAUCCCGGGUUUCUUACUUCCUGGUCACAAAAUGGCUGCCGAAGUCCAUAAGCUAAAUCCUAAUGUGAGUGAACAUGAUCAAGGAUUCAUGACUACAACCCCAAAAUACGGCACUUCUGCCUGUGUGGAAACAACAGAAGCAGGAAGAUUACUCUCAUUUUUCUCUGGCCUUUUUCCCUUGAAGCAGACUAUAAAGAAGAAUCUGACCUUCCUCUGAAGGAAACCUUCAUUCCAGACAUACCCUCCCUAUAUCCAAAGAACAUCUUUAUCUUUAAAGACACAGAGAUGUCAAGAAGAAUCUGAACAAACAGGCUUUGCCAGAUCCCCCAGUUUACUAAUAUUGAACCAUACUCUUUUGUUCUUCAAUCAUACUUCUGCAUGAUGUCCAUAAAAAUACACAGUUUUCCCCAUUCCUUUUGGGUAUUUAUUCCCGAAAGCUUCUGUGUCAUGUAAAACUUACAUUAAAUAAAUUUGUAUGCUUUU
rnacentral:lncRNA from 1 species